CAGCGCCUUGUGAACCCAUUCACAGUAGAGUGUGCAUGCAACUGUGUUAAGGUAAAAAAUAAACAGUUUUUGAAGGAAAAGAUUGGAGGCUGUUCAUACAGAUGUUGCAGUUAAAAAUAUAAUUAAAAAAAUAAGGGCUGCAACUAAACAUAGAUCUUUAUGUGCAGUCAAAACCUCUAAACAAUUAAACAUAACACAUUUUGGACAAACAUAACACAACGACAUGCAGAGAUUUGAUUCUAUAGGGAGAGAUCAUCGGUGGUGGUAUCGCUGUAUUUUGUAUGUUUGGCUAGCAAAGUUCACCAGGAUUCUUGAAGAAAACAUUUUCCUUUAAGAGUGUAUUAUUGUAAACUCCCUAUGUGUCAUUUCCCACGUUUGUCAUCAUGGGAUCAUGGUUACGUAAUCGAUUACAUUAAUUGAUGGGUAUACAGGAACCAAGAGUUUAUUUAAGAGUUUUAUAACUGCAUUGGGUUACGUGUGGAUGUCUUGCCUCUGGUGACAGUUAUAAAAAAGUGUGGAAUUCCAAAGAAUAUCUGACUGGGUUUCUGUGUGCAUUCUCACAGGCAGAAUUCCAUCCACUUACUCACAAUUACUUAUCUAUCAAAUCAGAGGUCAGUGCUAAGUCUAAGCAUGGCCCUUCAGUGAUGUGAUUUGUCACAGAAAGCCUUUGAGUGUGAUCCACUGUCACAAGAAGAAAGUUCCUCAUUUCAGUAUUUUUCACAAUUGUUUCUAUUUAUAGCUGCAUGUAUAGGCUUCAAAUAAAAGAUGAUUUUAAGAAUAUUCAUGUUGCAGUUCAUACCUAAGAAAUGACUUCAAUUAAAUUAGGCUUUAAUGUGUACAGCUUUUCAAAGUCUCGCACAUCCUAUGACUGUAUAUAAUAUGUCUCUGAUUAAAAAAACACAUAUCCAACUACUGCUCUUUGGGUUCAUAUAAGAAGGAUUCUUUGACAAAGUCUUAUAAUAUCUUCAGAUACAAUGCUACCGCCAUGUCUAUAUUUACAGUGGGUAAGGAUUAUGUCCAAAGAUCCAUCUUAAAAAAAAAAAAAACAGUGUGAUUUCUGAUUGUUUGCAAGAAUUGUGAAGAUAUUUCUGCCAUUUAAGAUUUUGAUUAAGCCCAAACAGAAGCAGUGAGGACACACUCCAUGUGAGACAGAAUGACCUGCUCAGUAUUCAAAUCCUCACUUCCAGCAGCUGUGAAUGGACUCUGAACGGAGUAAAUUUCUCUUGUAUAAACAUCACUGCCCGAUUCUCUCAGGUUCAGGAAAUGAGCACUGACUGCACGGAAGUCAUGACUUCAUUAUGGUGCAUUAGUAGGGAGACUUUGCACUAGUAGCUAGACUCAUGCAUUGAGGUAGGUGUCAAGUUACAGAUGAAGAAAAGCACCAUACAUGAAGCUGGGAGGAAUUCAGAGAGGCCAAAUCUGGAAAGACAGCGACUCAAAACCCAUUUCACACAUGACGGUGUCAUGCUGAUGAACCUGGCAUAACACAGCACAUUUCAUCCCCCCGCCACACACACACAUACACUGGCCAAGUCUAGCCCAACACCCACCUCCUCACAGCAGCCACUGGCUCCUCGGGGGCAUCCAUAAUACAAUCGGCCUAUCAGGCGCCUCUGUGGUUGGCUGACGGCUGACUGAGCGUGUCCUCAGAAAGGGGCUGCAGCUGGUGCCCUCCAUCUCAAGCGCCCCUCCGCUCGAGGAGGAGCCCGCAUGAUGGCGACUUCAUGCUGCCUUUGAAUGUAUGUGUCUGUGUGUGUGUGUGUGUGUGUGUGUGUGUGUGAUUGGGUGUGAGUGAGUGUGUGUGUGUGUGUGUGUGUGUGUGUUUGUGUGUGUGUGUGUGUGUGUGUGUCUGUGUGUGUGUGUAUGUGUGUGUGUGUAUGUGUGUGUGUGUGUGAUUGGGUAUGAGUGAGUGUGUGUGUGUGUGUGUGUUUGUGUAGCUCCACUGCGCAUGUGCUUCACUCAGGGAGCAGCGGGUUCAUGAGUCGUGUCACCGAGGCCAUGCGGCCCAGUACGGAUACCACACUGACAGCCUGGUGGGGUGUCUCUAAUGGAUAUGGGCUCUCUGUUUCUGGUCCUCCCCCGCAAUGAAGAGAUCAUGUCUGGCAGCAGUGUUACAUCCAUAAUGCUGCUGUUUCCUGCAAAAGCAAGACAGUGCAUUUACUCUAUUUUGCCAUAUUUUUUUAUAGGUCACACAUUAUAUUUACUUUAUUUUCUGAACACCACAUUGGUUGUGUGUAAAGGACUUAGUGAUACAUCAGUAUAUGAAAAUGUGUUGAUUGCCAGCCUGC
ensembl:lncRNA